GAACUACUCACUCCGUCCGGAAAUACUUGUCGGGAAAAUGGAUGUAUCUUGAUGUAUUUUGGUUCUAGAACAUCCAUUUUUAUGCAUUUCUACGACAAGUAUUUCCGGACGGAGGGAGUACUAC
rfam:Triticum aestivum genome assembly, contig: Triticum_aestivum_CS42_TGACv1_scaffold_221443_3B